UACAGAGGGGGCAAGCGUUGUUCGGAAUUACUGGGCGUAAAGGGCGCGUAGGCGGCCUUCUAAGUCGAACGUGAAAUCCCCGGGCUCAACCCGGGAACUGCGUCCGAUACUGGAAGGCUUGAAUCCGGGAGAGGGAUGUGGAAUUCCAGGUGUAGCGGUGAAAUGCGUAGAUAUCUGGAGGAACAACGGUGGCGAAGGCGACAUCCUGGACCGGUAUUGACGCUGAGGCGCGAAAGCCAGGGGAGCAAACGGG
rnacentral:rRNA from 1 species